UGUGGGGAGGAGUUGGAGACAUUUGGGUUACAUGUACUUUCCCAAGUCUGCAGUAAUCAGAAAAAAAAUUUUUUUGGAAAAAGUGUGAAAAAACAUGACACAAGAAGCCAGGGUGACAAGCAUGUAAAGAUCCCAGGGUGGUAGGCCUGUGCUAAGAUGAUGCUUGAGUUGGGAACUGGAGAGUGAGUGGGGUGGGAGAUGUUUCCCCGGGCAGAGUCACGUCAGCCCCAGUGGAGACAGGACCAGGGAGGGUCUAUGCAGGGAAGAGGGGUCCAUGUGAGCAGAGCCUGUGGCAGUUGAAAAUGGACAGCCAGGUGUGUCUGAGAGCAGGAAAUCCUUGGGACCUCAUUUAAAAGUUGCAGCUGUGUGUGGGAAGGUUGCUUCCACCUGUCUUUAAGCCUGGCGCCAGCUGGCAGAAGCUUCCUUGAAGAUCUCGGACCCUCUCCAGCUUUCUGGAGUUUAACUGAGGAAGGGCCCUGGCUGGUGUGCCCUGAAAUUCAUGUCUGGGUUUGUGCACAAGGCCACACUUCUUGUCUGCCUGCUCCCAGCUAACCACUGGUGGAGACACGGGUAUUAAGGCAGGCAGAGCACGGAGUUCACAGGAAGGCGCUUACUCGAAGCUCGCGGAGUUCUCGCUGUUGAUUAGUUGGGGACGUCCUAGAAAGAAAGGGCAGUAGGCGAUCGCGAGGCGCUGCGCGCGGGGCGAGGGGUAGUCGCGGCUGCCGGAGGCUGAGCGCCCGCGCGUGGACGAAGUGACCCCGGCAACUUCUCCAACUCGGCCGGCGCCGCCCCGCGCGCACACGGGACCCCGGGGGAACGGCCGUGUCGCCGAUCGGGGGCCCGGGCGGCUGUCGGGCUCUCCACCCAGUUUGGAAAGAAAAGAGGCCAUUCUUCCAACAAUUGACGGCCGGGCCGCCGCCGCAAAGGGCCUGUUAACUUGCAGUUAUCUCUUGAAGAUAGUCGCUCUCCACGUGACCGUCAGGCAACUGGAUGAAGGUCAUCUCUUCGUCUAGAAGCCAAAAUCCAGUGAUGGCUCUAAGACAACGAUGCUUAAUCAGUUUCUGUUGCCUUAGCAACAAGUGGGCUGGGAUGCUUGGUAGCGUCUUCUCAUGAGCCACCCCUGUGGGCUUCCGUAGCAUCUGCCCCUCUGGACCAUGAUCGUCUCCACACUGAGUGGUGGCUGGUGGCCUGUUUGUUCACAGGCUGGUGAGACUGUCUGUAGGCUUUCGAUCACCAUCGUACUCCCGACACUUAGCGUGGUACCUCGAACACAAGUGCUGUUCAUCAGAUACUUCCUGAAUUGAGUUAACUUAAUAAAGGUCCUGCACAUAGGCAUUCAAG
ensembl:lncRNA